UGCAGUCGGACGGCAGCGCGGGGGCACCCUGGCGGCGAGUGGCGAACGGGUGAGUAAUACAUCGGAACGUGUCCUGGAGUGGGGGAUAGCCCGGCGAAAGCCGGAUUAAUACCGCAUACGCUCGGGAGAGGAAAGCGGGGGAUCUUCGGACCUCGCGCUCAAGGGGCGGCCGAUGGCAGAUUAGCUAGUUGGUGGGGUAAAGGCCUACCAAGGCGACGAUCUGUAGCUGGUCUGAGAGGACGACCAGCCACACUGGGACUGAGACACGGCCCAGACUCCUACCGGAGGCAGCAGUGGGGAAUUUUGGACAAUGGGGGCAACCCUGAUCCAGCAAUGCCGCGUGUGUGAAGAAUGCCUUCCGGUUGUAAAGCACUUUUGUCCGGAAAGAAAACUUCGUCGUUAAUACCGAUGGAGGAUGACGGUACCGGAAGAAUAAGCACCGGCUAACUACGUGCCAGCAGCCGCGGUAAUACGUACGGUGCGAGCGUUAAUCGGAAUUACUGGGCGUAAAGCGUGCGCAGGCGGUUCGCUAAGACCGAUGUGAAAUCCCCUGGCUUAACCUGGGAACUGCAUUGGUGACUGGCGGGCUAUAGUAUGGCAGAGGGGGGUAGAAUUCCACGUGUAUCAGUGAAAUGCGUACAGAUGUGGAGGAAUACCGAUGGCGAAGGCAGCCCCCUGGGCCAAUACUGACGCUCAUGCACGAAAGCGUGGGGAGCAAACAGGAUUAGAUACCCUGGUAGUCCACGCCCUAAACGAUGUCAACUAGUUGUCGGGUCUUCAUUGACUUGGUAACGUAGCUAACGCGUGAAGUUGACCGCCUGGGGAGUACGGUCCCAAGAUUAAAACUCAA
rnacentral:rRNA from 1 species